rnacentral:piRNA from 1 species
GACACUUUCAAUCAGUUAUGACAAGUAAGUG